UACGUAGGGUGCAAGCGUUGUCCGGAAUUAUUGGGCGUAAAGAGCUCGUAGGCGGUCUGUUGCGUCGGCUGUGAAAACCCGAGGCUCAACCUCGGGCCUGCAGCCGAUACGGGCAGACUAGAGUUCGGCAGGGGAGACUGGAAUUCCUGGUGUAGCGGUGAAAUGCGCAGAUAUCAGGAGGAACACCCGUGGCGAAGGCGGCUCUCUGGGACGGUACUGACGCUGAGACGCGAAAGCGUGGGGAGCGAACAGG
rnacentral:rRNA from 1 species